ACAACGGAGAGUUUGAUCCUGGCUCAGGAUGAACGCUAGCGGGAGGCCUAACACAUGCAAGCCGAGGGGAAUUGGAGAGCUUGCUUUCCAAG
rnacentral:rRNA from 1 species